UGCCAGCCGCCGCGGUAAUACGGAGGGUGCAAGCGUUGCUCGGAAUCACUGGGCGUAAAGCGUACGCAGGCGGCUCGUUAAGUCGGGUGUGAAAGCCCGGGGCUCAACCCCGGAACUGCAUUCGAAACUGGCGGGCUUGAAUACGGAAGAGGGAAGCGGAAUUCCUGGUGUAGAGGUGAAAUUCGUAGAUAUCAGGAGGAACAUCAGUGGCGAAAGCGGCUUCCUGGUCCGAUAUUGACGCUCAUGUACGAAAGCGUGGGGAGCAAACAGGAUUAGAUA
rnacentral:rRNA from 1 species